rnacentral:SRP_RNA from 1 species
GAACCCCGCCAGGCCCGGAAGGGAGCAACGGUAGUAGUAUAAUUGUGUGCCGGGGUGUGGCUGG